rnacentral:rRNA from 1 species
AACGAACGCUGGCGGCAGGCCUAACACAUGCAAGUCGAGCGAGGUAGCAAUACCUAGCGGCGGACGGGUGAGUAACGCGUGGGAACGUGCCCCUUGGUACGGAAUAGCCCCGGGAAACUGGGAGUAAUACCGUAUGAGCUCUACGGAGGAAAGAUUUAUCGCCAAGGGAUCGGCCCGCGUUGGAUUAGGUAGUUGGUGGGGUAAUGACCUACCAAGCCGACGAUCCAUAGCUGGUUUGAGAGGAUGAUCAGCCACACUGGGACUGAGACACGGCCCAGACUCCUACGGGAGGCAGCAGUGGGGAAUCUUAGACAAUGGGCGCAAGCCUGAUCUAGCCAUGCCGCGUGAGCGAUGAAGGCCUUAGGGUUGCAAAGCUCUUUCAGCUGGGAAGAUAAUGACUGUACCAGCAGAAGAAGCCCCGGCUAACUCCGUGCCAGCCGCCGCGGUAA